rnacentral:rRNA from 1 species
AUGGCCGAGGUACAGCCGUCGCCGUCGUCGCCGCCGCCGCGCGCAGCCGGCGGCGAUCCCGAGGAUCCGCCCCUGCCGCCGCCGAUGCCGCCACAGCCGCAGCCGCAGCCGCAGCCGCGCGAGGGGGGCGGCGGCCGGUCGGAGGACGAGGAGGAUCCCCCCUCCCCGCCGCUGCCUCAGUCCACCACCGUCCCCAUCUCCAACGCCGCCCAGUACAUCCCGCGCGUCUCGGACCACACGACCGGCGCCGGGGGCGACGCCCGGUCCUGGUACUCUUGGAACGGCCGCACCAAGGACCGCCGCCGCCAAACGGCCCCUCCUCCCCAGAGGCAGUACCCGCAGUCGCAGCCGUAUCCGCAGCCGCGGCCGCAGCCGCAGCAGUGGGUCACGCCGGAGCCGAAGCCGCGGCCGCAGCUGCCGCACGUGGCGGACUCGUCGCCUGUGCCCGCGCGGGCCGCGCCAUCGACGGUGCCGGCGCCGGGCCCGACCAGGUCCGUCGACCGCCGGGCCGUGCCCGACAUCAUGUACAGGAAACGCCGCACGGCGACGCUGCAGCGCACGGCGCUGUUCGCGCGGCUCGUGGCCGCGGCGCUCUGCCUGGCGGCGCUCGCGGUGCUCGCCGCCGAUACCCGCAAGGGCUGGGCCCUCGACUCCUACAGCAACUACACCCAGUUACGGUACUCGGAGGCUAUCAACGUGAUCGGAUUCGUGUACUCGGUGUUCCAGUUCUUUGCACUAGCGUUGCACUUGACGAGGAAGAGACAUUUGAUUCCCCGGCCCAAGGGCGAUUAUUUCGACUUUGCCAUGGAUCAGGUCCUCGCAUACCUCCUGAUAUCAUCAUCGUCAUCAGCAACCGCGCGAGUAAGCGAUUGGAUCGACAACUGGGGGAGCGAUACUUUCCCAAAUAUGGCGAACAGCUCCAUCAUCAUAUCUUUCCUGGCAUUUGUGGUUUUUGCCAUCAACUCCCUCAUCUCUGCGUACAAUCUGUUCCGUCGAGAUCUUUAG